AUCUCGGUAUUGUAUUCAGCUCUAUGAAUUUUGUAGGAUUAUCUGUGUAUUGUACUCAGCACUUUUCGUUGUUCCCAUCUUGUUUUAUUGUAUGAGCAUCUCUGUAUUAUGCUCAGCUCUCUGUAUUGUUCGAGUGUCUAUGUACUGUAUAGGGAGUAGUAAAAUUCUGGGGGCGGAGUCUGUUUCCCCACCAUCUUAAAACUUCACAAGCUGCCAC